AUCCAGGUUGACGAGGAAGUUGAACUCAGGUCGGGACAGGUACAGGCUCCAGGCAGAUGCUGCGUGGUGGUUCUCUAGCACUGAGCGGUCAUUGUACAGCACAGCCUACAUCACCCAGGAGGGAAAGGCACAAGCUUCUCUGAACACUGCAUGAUCUGGGAUGUCUACACCUGGGAAGACCGUGGCAAUCAGACCAGUGUGACCCAGUCUGAAUGCUCCAGACCAGCAAACUGCCAAAACGCUUUCUCCAGUUGAUAAUCUCACUCCUCUGGUUUCCUCCAUCGUCUGGUAUCCCAUCGUCAGACACAUCCACCUCCGAACUCUCCUCCCUAAUCAGAGGCUCCCCUGUGAACUCCGGUCCUUCACCUGCUGCGUAUACAUGCAUACAGCACAAUAUGAAAGGCACC